rnacentral:tRNA from 2 species
CCCUGGUUAGCUCAGUUGGCAGAGUGCUCCACCUGUAAUGGAGAGGUCCCGGGUUCGAUACCCGGACCAGGCG